CUAUGCUAGUGCACUGUUCCUUACAUCAGCCAAAGCAAACACAUUGGACAAAGUUGAAUCUGAGAUUAAAACUAUUGUAGAGGCAUCCAAGAAGAGCCCGCUGUUUUCUCAAUUCAUAAAGGACUUGUCAGUUCCAAAAGAAACCAGAGUGAAGGCUAUAACUGAAAUAUUCGCUGAAGCUGGGUUUUCAGAUAUCACAAAGAAUUUCUUGGGCUGCUUAUGAAAAGGCCAAGAGGAAGGAGCAAUCGUCAAGCCACUCAUCAGGAGGUGCAUCUCCCAGAGGCUUUCCUGGAGGGAUGCCUGGGGGUUUCCCUGGAGCUGGAGGUGCCAGGCCCUAGGGGUUUCCCUGGGGCUGGUCCCGGUAAUGUUGAUAUGAGUAAGAUCCUGAAUGACCCUGACCUGAUGGCGGGAUUCAGUUUCCCAUAGGUCAUGGCAGCUCUACAAGAUGGUAUGUGUCUGGCUUCCCACACAAAUCUUGUG